ensembl:lncRNA
UGACAACCACGGGGAUACACGGGGAUGUCCCAGUCCCAGUGAGUGAUGGAGGCGCUGCCAUCUGUCUGUCCAUCCUUGUAGGGGGUAUUGUGGGGAGGGAUGGCAGCACUGAGGUGAUGCUCUCUAUAGUAUGGGGUUUAGGGGUGGGUUUGUUCAUGUGAGGGCUCUCUGUCCUUAAAGGUCCUCUGUGUCAGAAGUACCCGAGCGUGGUCUCAUCCUUCACCUGGGGAUGGGGACAGGGUGAGGAUGGGGACAUUGAGGUGGGGACAUCAUGGUGAGGGGCAAGAUGUUUGGAUAGGGGGGCUGGGAUGAAGAUGGGGAUGUUGGGGUGAGGGUGAGGACAUCAGAGUGAGGACACCGGGGUGAGGACAAAGAUGUUGGGAUGGGGACAUCGGGAUGAAGAUGGAGACGUUGGGAUGAAGAUGGGGAUAUUGGGAUGAAGAUGGGGAUAUUGGGAUGAGGAUGGGGAUGUUGGGAUGAGGAUGAAGACAUUGGGAUGGGGACAUUGGGAUGAGGAUGGGGAUGUUGGGAUGAGGAUGAGGACAUUGGGGUGAGGAUGAAGACAUUGGGAUGGGGACAUUGGAACGAAGAGGGGGACAUCGGGAUGGGGACGUCAGAGUGAAAAUGGGGAUGUCAGAAAAAGGACAUUGGGACAGGGAUGACUUUGGGGCAGGAACAUUAGAAUGAAGAUGGAGACAUCAGAGCAGGGAUGUUGGAGUGAGGAUGGGGACAUGGAGGUGAAAAUGGGGACGUAUGACAGGGACAUCAGUGUGAGAAUGGGAAUAUCGGGAUGGGGACACUAAGGUGAGGAUGGGGACAUUGGGAUAGGGACAUUGGGGUGAGGAUGGGGACACUGAGGUGAGGAUGGGGACAUUGGGAUGAGGAUGGGGACAUUGGGAUGAGACAUUGGGGUGAGGAUGGGGACGUUGGAUGGGGACAUUGGGGUGAGGAUGGGGACAUUGGAUGGAGACAUUGGGACGAGGAUGGGAACCUUGGGGUGAGGAUGGGGACAUUGGGUGAGGAUGGGGACAGUGGAGUGAGGAUUGGGACAUUGGAGUGAGAAUGGGGACAUUGGAUGGGGACAUUGGGGUGAGGAUUAGACAUUGGGAUGAGGCUGGGGACAUUGGGAUGAGGCUGGGGACAUUGGGAUGAGGAUGGAGACAUUGGGGUGAGGAUGGGGACAUUGGGAUGGGACAUUGGGAUGAGGAUGGAGACAUUGGGGUGAGGAUGGGGACAUUGGAUGGGGACAUUGGGUGAGGAUGGGGACAUUGGAUGGGAACAUUGGGUGAGGAUGGGGACAUUGGAUGGGAACAUUGGGAUGAGGAUGGGGACAUUGGAUGGGGACAUCGGGUGAGGAUGGGGACGUUGGAUGGGAGCAUUGGGGUGAGGAUGGGGACACUGGAGUGAGGAUGGGAACAUUGGGGUGAAGAUGGAGACAUUGGGGUGAGAAUGGGGACAUUGGAUGGGAACAUUGGAAUGAGGAUGGGGACAUUGGGCUGGGGAUGGGGACGUUGAGGUGGGAAUGGGGACAUUGGAUGGGGACAUUGGAUGGGAACAUUGGAAUGAGGAUGGGGACAUUGGGAUGAGGAUGGGGACAUUGAAUGGACACAAUGGGACCCCAGUAAACAGUGGGGUGCAGCACCCCGGGGUGCCCCUACAGAGACCCCACAGAGGGCGAAAGAAAUCCCACCUUUCCCAGCUCUCUCUGCAGUGCCUCCCAUGCCAGGAUUUUACUUUUUUCCCCCAGAACCCCUAAUGGGGGGGGGGGCACAUCUCCCCUCCCCCCCCCCC